ensembl:snRNA U6 U6 spliceosomal RNA
GAGCUCGCUUCGGCAGCACAUACACUAGAAUUGGAAAAAUACAGAGAAGAUUAGCAUGGCCCCUCCACUAGGAUGACAUGCAAAUUUGUAAAGUGUUACAUUAAAAA